rnacentral:rRNA from 1 species
GCAGGCUGAAACCCGCCUGUAUGAAGUUGGAAUCGCUAGUAAUCGCGGAUCAGCAUGCCGCGGUGAAUACGUUCCCGGGCCUUGUACACACCGCCCGUCACACCAUGAGAGUUGGAAAUACCCGAAGCCUGUGAGCUAACUUAAAGAGGCAGCAGUCGAAGGUAGAGCCAAUGAUUGGGGUGAAGUCGUAACAAGGUAGC